UUGAAAUGCAACGUGUGUCCAGCCUCCAGCGUCAGAUAAGAGGGUCCAAAGGAAAAUCCCUCCGCGGAACCAUACCAAACCAACAAUUCCUAUGGCGGCGCUGCCUCUUCUCCGGUGGGGCGCCUCCUCCCUCCACGCCCACUUCUCCCCUACCCCGCCGCGACGCCUCUUCUCCGCUCUCCGACAGCCCCCUGCCGCCGGCCGCUACGAGCCAGGCUCCAGGGUCAUGCUUAAGGGGAUGGACUACCCAGAGCUCGAGAAAUGGGUGCAGUCGCAAGGAUUCCGACCGGGACAGGCCAUGAUGCUGUGGAAAUGCCUCUACGGGAACAACGUCUGGGCGCAUUGCCACGACGAGCUGGCUGGCUUGAACAAGGACUUGAGGAAAAUGAUAAGUGAUCAUGCUGAUCUGAAGGCAUUAACUAUUAAAGACAUUAUUACUGCAUCAGAUGGAACCCGAAAGAUACUGUUCUCUCUUGAAGAUGCCUCAGUGAUUGAAACAGUUGUCAUUCCUAGCGCCAGGGGCCGGACAACGGUCUGUGUUUCAAGUCAAGUGGGCUGUGCCAUGAAUUGUCAGUUUUGCUUCACUGGGAGGAUGGGUUUGAGAAAGCAUUUGUCUACAGCUGAGAUAGUUGAGCAGGCUGUGUUUGCUCGUAAGCUAUUUUCAGAUGAAUUUGGUACUAUUACAAAUGUUGUAUUUAUGGGCAUGGGCGAGCCGUUGCACAAUGUAGAUAACGUAAUAAAAGCAUCAUCUAUAAUGGUUGAUGAGCAGGGUCUUCAGUUUAGUCCUCGCAAGGUUACUGUAUCCACAAGUGGUCUCGUUCCAGAGAUAAAACGCUUCCUCAAUGAAUCCAAUUGCGAUCUGGCCGUGAGUCUUAAUGCAACAACUGAUGAGGUUAGGGAUUGGAUAAUGCCCAUUAACAGAAGGUACAAUCUUAGCACGCUUCUUGGCACUUUAAGGGAGGAACUUCGUUUGAGACCUAAGUCCAUAGUGCUAUUUGAAUACGUCAUGCUUGCUGGAGUGAAUGACAGUGUGGAUGAUGCGAAGAGGCUUACAGAGCUGGUUCGUGGUAUUGCCUGCAAGAUCAACCUCAUCUCUUUCAACCCCCAUAGUGGGUCCCAAUUCAAGCCGACGCCCGAUGAGAAAAUUAUCGAGUUCCGCAACAUGUUAAUCCAGUCCGGCCUUACCGUUAUGGUGCGGCUAAGCAGAGGCGAUGACCAGAUGGCUGCCUGCGGGCAGCUAGGAGCGGCUGGUGACUAUCAGCUACCGCUGCUCCGUGUUCCUGAGAAAUUUCAGGUCGCCUUAUGAAGCUAAAUACGUAGUGCUCGUACAGUAGUAAAACAGGUGCCUGGGAACAACUUCAGGAAGACAUGGCAGUAAUAUGCGUGUAAUGAGGAUAAAACCACGCUGAUUCUUUCAGGUCAAUCAUCUUUCUGAGCCAGCCUUACGACCGUCGAGCAUUUUCUGAAUUUUGAUGGCAAGUGCUGAACAGUUGAUCUGUGGUGAUUGUAACCCAAUGGACGGCUAGGUAUCAAAUAAAGACGACGCGAACCUCUGGAUGGGCAUGCUCCAAGCAACUUUGAGUAGACGCAUGACAUCCGGGCAUCUGGCAUAGCUUCUGACGCGGUCUGAGUCGCCAAAGUCGAUUCUGUUGCAGGUAGUAGUUCCAAAAGACUCGAAUCUACUCAGCUAUUGCUGGUCAUGUUGGAUUAGAUGAUGCAGGAAUGACAGAAAGACAAGAAAAGGGACUACGUGCAUGCUUUCCCUUGCUUGAGAUACCUUAACCAUUAAGGUGCGCCAGCACCUGACCACCCUACUUAGAAAAGAAAAGGAAAAAAAAAGGCAAAGUGGUCUAACACAAGCCCCACCAACCAAUGCGCCUUCUUUCCAAAAGCAAUUGCAUUACAAGACCGCACCCAUGGGGAUUUGGGCGCCUUUGCCACUAAUCUGCUGCCAAAAUGGAGUAGCGGCCUACACCUGCUUCCUUGUUUUAGUGUAGAUAGAAGAUUGCUUGCUUGGAUUUUGACAUCCCAGAAAACAAAAGACAAAGGGAUUCUACGGCUGAUGUUUUUCUAAAAGGUCUUUGUUUUGUUUGGUUUAAUAUUUUUUCGAGAGGCUUGAGCCAGAUUCUGAUGGCAAUCUCUGAUGUAAUCAACGGAUUUAUUAGCGCCGUAGCAGCGAGGCUUGCUUAGGAAUCUUGAUGACUGGGCUGUCGCAUUCUGUCGUCAAA